rnacentral:lncRNA from 1 species
CAACAUAUAGACAUACUUGUAGUCACACAGAAACUUGAUUUUUCAAUACAUAAAAUACCAAUAUAAGAACUACAUGAACAUCAAACAACCCUUGUUGUACAUGAAAUUAGGUUUUUAAACCCCCCAAAAAAAUCCGAAUUUUGUGCUCUAUUAUGCACUCGGAACAUUGUGGCAACCCAUGUUCAAACUUGGACUUACUUUGCCAGCAAACGGUACAUACUUCCACACAUAAACACGCUAUUAUAAUCAACUCGGAAAGACCUAAACAACCAUAACUGGAUAUCGAUGGUUGUUUAGCUAAGUUACUACAUAUCUCUAACUUCAAACAUGUUGCGGUUCUUGACGACUAUGUCAAACAUAUGCAUAGGUUUGAGUUUGUUGAAGUCUUUAGGUAGAGAAAUGAGAUGCACUGUCGAUCUUUUGUGAAAUUGCAACAAAUCAGGGUCAUCGUAGUACCUUUCCCAUCCGAAUGAUGACAGCAUUCUUCCCAGCACAUCGUAUGAAGUCACCACUUCGUUCGUUGGUACAUGAACCAGGACCUUACGUCGGCCCGCACCCUGAAAGGAAUCACUUCCAGGACUAUCCACUAGUCGUACCACACCGUUCUGCUUGAACACCCAAACACCAGACAUAUCUUUAGUUCUUGACUAGCUAUAUAGGGUUUUUUAGUUGUGGUU